CCUACGGGAGGCAGCAGUGGGGAAUAUUGGACAAUGGGCGAAAGCCUGAUCCAGCCAUGCCGCGUGAGUGAAGAAGGCCUUAGGGUUGUAAAGCUCUUUCAGCGGGGAAGCGGUACCCGCAGAAGAAGUCCCGGCUAACUUCGUGCCAGCAGCCGCGGUAAUACGAAGGGGACUAGCGUUGUUCGGAUUUACUGGGCGUAAAGCGCGCGUAGGCGGAUCGCUAAGUCAGGGGUGAAAUCCCAGGGCUCAACCCUGGAACUGCCUUUGAUACUGACGAUCUGGAGAUCGGGAGAGGUUGGUGGAAUUCCGAGUGUAGAGGUGAAAUGCGUAGAUAUUCGGAGGAACACCAGAAGCGAAGGCGGCCAACUGGCCCGAACUGACGCUGAGGCGCGAAAGCGUGGGGAGCAAACAGGAUAAGAUACCCCAGUAGUC
rnacentral:rRNA from 1 species